rnacentral:rRNA from 1 species
GUACACUCCUACGGGAGGCAGCAGUGGGGAAUAUUGGACAAUGGGCGCAAGCCUGAUCCAGCCAUGCCGCGUGAGUGAUGAAGGCCCUAGGGUUGUAAAGCUCUUUAACCGGUGAAGAUAAUGACGGUAACCGGAGAAGAAGCCCCGGCUAACUUCGUGCCAGCAGCCGCGGUAAUACGAAGGGGGCUAGCGUUGUUCGGAUUUACUGGGCGUAAAGCGCACGUAGGCGGACUAUUAAGUCAGGGGUGAAAUCCCGGGGCUCAACCCCGGAACUGCCUUUGAUACUGGUAGUCUUGAGUUCGAGAGAGGUGAGUGGAAUUCCGAGUGUAGAGGUGAAAUUCGUAGAUAUUCGGAGGAACACCAGUGGCGAAGGCGGCUCACUGGCUCGAUACUGACGCUGAGGUGCGAAAGCGUGGGGAGCAAACAGGAUUAGAAACCCUAGUAGUCCC